rnacentral:lncRNA from 1 species
CCUAUAAAAAACAGGUUUGAAGCUCAACUCAACAAGUACAACACCAGCUAGAGGGUCACCAAGCAUGUCAGUUUCUCCCCUGGAAAUAUCGCCAGAAAACUCAUGCUUGUCUUCGGAACCCGGAGAUGAAAAGGAGGAGGAGGAGGAGGAGUCAGUGGUGACGAUGCGGUACCGUCCUGAAGUAACGUCAAUGCUGCUAGUGGGAUGCCCUCGUUGUCUCAUAUAUGUUAUGUUAUCCAAAUUUGAACCUAAAUGCCCUCAAUGUAAGAGCACUGUCUUGCUUGAUUUUCUUGAUGAAGAGACUGCUAAAUGGGCAAGCAAUUGAAUGAAGGCAACUCUCUAGGAUUUUCGUUCUUUUUCCGGGAAUACGGUACGGUAAGGGUUGCAGAUAUCGAAAGUCAAACUUAUUGAUUUUAUGGAAUGUGAAGUUAAGUAUGAUUACGUGAACUAAUUGAAAUAAAUCCCGGAUUCUAGGGUUUUUUUUUUUUUGAAGUUUUAUGUUAAUCUUAUAUUUUUAUUGGUCAAAUUGUAGUUAUAGUCCCUAGAGCUUUAAUUCCAUAUAAUUUAAUUUCUGUACUUUAUAACCUUAUUAGUGUUUUUAAUUAAUUUAAGUACAACAUAUUUUCUUUAAAAAUAUAUAUUUACGAAUAAUGUUACUUGUUAAUCAUGUGAUUUAUUGAGUGUGAUAAAUUGAAUAUAAAUAUAAAUAAAUAUAAAUAGUAUAUAGGGAUAAUGAUAACUUUAGCUUCUAACGUUUACAUUUUUUUUUCAAUUUGACCCUUCUUCUUCUUUUUUUUAGCUAAAUUUGGUCAUUACCCUUUUAAAAAUAGUCAAUCACUUUUCUUUAAAUUGAAAUGUUGAGUAAAACAAUUUUUUUUUAACAAUGUUGGUCUAGUAAACCGCGUGGUAGUUCAUGUAUACUUCAUGUUGACAUGACAUUAUUUGUCUUAUAUGUCACAUUAACAAAUAAUUCAAAAUUUCAUAAAAUUUAAAAAUUCAUAAAUUUUUUAAAAAAUAGCAUGGAGUACACGUGAAUUGCCAUGCGUACUAUCAUGUUUAAAAUUUUAACAUUUAAGUUAGUAUUUUCAUUAAAAAACAGUAAUUCAACUCCUUUUGAAAAAUUGAUGUUCAAAUUCACCUCUUUUAAAAAGGUUGAGAGCGAAAUUUAACUUUAAAAAAAAAAAGAGAAAAAAAAUGACAAAUUGGACAAAAGAUAUAAAUGUUAAGAAUUACAUUUAUUGCCUAGUAUAUAUAAUUCGAUUGUUUUACCGGCAAAUUUUUGUUCCACUUGAUAAUAUGGAUGAAAGUUCCUAACAUGUCCCUUUAUUUUAGAGAUUGAUUCAAAUUAGUCCCUAUACUGUUAAAUGGAUUAAUAUAUUUCAUGCAAUAAUAAGGCUAAAUCUUAACAGAAUGCCAUCUAUUCUGGAGAUGAAGGCAUGAAAAAAUUUUAGGGUGACCAAAAUGGAAUGUUAAAAUUUUGAAGGUCCAAAAUAAAAUUUUAUCAUUAUAUUAAUGUAUACUUUUAUAAUUGCUAGAGGAGUUUAAACACAAUUCACCGUUUUUUGGGGGUCAAGGCCACUACAUACCCCCAAUUGGAUUCGCCUAUGAGCUACUAUUUAACAAAGUUAAUAUUUUUAAAACUUUUAUGGUUUUACAAAUGAAUUUUUUUGUUCGCAGUUGAAUCGCAAAUUAAAACUAAUAAUUUUUAUGUCAUAUUUUAAUCAAUGAAUGUUAACUUUAUUAAAAUUUAGUGUUAUUUGAUGUUUUUAUACAAUGAUUAAAUUGAUUCAUUUGAUUGUAUAUCUAUUUAAACUAGUCCCUAGAAUAAGGGACCUAAUAAGUAAUUUGACCGAUAAUAUGAGUAAUUUGAUAUGUCAAAUUGUUGGUUGAACCUAAUUAGAUAUAUAGUAAAAAUUAAAUAUAAUAUAUAUAUAUAUAUGAGAUUUUAAUUAAGAUUUUAAAAUUGAACUUUGAAUGAGUAAUUACAAUUAAUCCUUAGAACUUUUAACCAUGCUUUGAAAUUUGGAUUCGAAAAAUAAAUCAAUAUUUUUCAACCUAUUACUAUAUUAUACUAUAUAAUUGAUACUAUUUAAUAAUUAAGAUAAUAUUUAAUUAUAAAUAUAAAUAACAUUAGGUUUAACCUAUCAUCUGGUGCUCGAGUUUGAUAUUUUGUUCUAAUAGGAUAUCUGUGUUCAAUGUAGCACUUCUAUUUGACAAAAGUUAUAUAUUUUGGUGCUUGAAGGUACGAUGUUAACUUUUUAAUGUUUAAUUUGAGUUUUAGUGUUGAUUUAAUGAACGUUAAUUGCUAAUACCAUUAUAUUUGAAUUUUUCAUGAUUUUGUUAAUAGAAUAAAAUUAGUGUUAAUUGUGAAUUUGUGUAAUUUUGCGUUUAAUUUGUCAAAUACAGUGCCACGGAAGUGUUGUAAUUCGAGUUUUAGGAUCGAUUUGAUGAAAGUUAAUUGCUAAUUUUUUUAGGUAAUUAUGAUUUUUUUAUCAAAUCAACUCUAAAACCCUAAUUAGACACUAAAAACUAACAUCGUUAACUCCAAGUACCAAAAUGUAUAAUUUUUGUCAAAUACAGGUACUACAUUGGACCAAAACAUAACACAAGUACUACAUUAGAGAAAAAAUACCAAAUUAUGUAUUAAGCCAUAAUAGUAUAUAAAAUCCUUAAUUUUCUAAAUAAUGAAAAUGAAUCAUCAAAUUUAAAUUCAAAAUUAUACGUAAACUUUGAUCCCCUGUGCAAUUUGAUACAUGAAAAAAUUUGAUUUAUUACAAUUAUACACAUGAAACUUUAAUUGUAAUUCAUAUAUAUAUAUGAAAUUUUUAUUUUAAUUACAUCAAAUUAUUAUUAUAUAAAUGAUGGUAAAUCACUAAUUGUGAUAAUAAUUUAUGAGGACAUGAUCAAAUCAAAUUUUUAUAUAUAAAAUUACACAUUAAAUCAAAAUUAAUGUAUAAUUUUGAAAUUAAUCACCAAAAGAACCAAAAAAAACAGUCGUUUAUCCAUUUUUAUACAAAAGAAUUUAUGACGUACAUACCUAUUUCGGGCAACUUGUUUUCGAGGUUUGGGUCAUUGUCUCGAGGGUUAGAAAUCUAGUUACCAUAACUAUGCAAUAGGCAACUUGUUAACCAAUUGGAGAUUGGGUCAUUGUCUCGAGGGAUAGAAAUCUAGUUACCUUACCUAUGCUGUUGACACCAUUUUUGGAUGAAAAACGGGGUUGACUUGGGUUUUGAAAAAAGAAACGGGAGUCGCCACCAAUCCUCUUUUUUCUUAUGAGGUGCGAUUGGAUCACCUCGAAGAGGGGUUGUUUUUAAUAAACGGUUUGAUUUUAUUAAAACAACAAGUUUGGUCCACGAAAUUCAGAAAAACGGGUUCGGGAGUCGGUUACGCACGAGGAAGGAUUAGCACCCUCGAUACGCCCAAAAUUGGUACCUAGUUGAUUACUUAAUGUCAAAAAUUGAGAACCUUGAAGAAUUUUAAAAAUACGAUCCUUGUAUUAAAACGUUGAAAAUUUUCAGGAAAAAUGGGAUAUUUCACGUUAUUCGAGAAAGAGAAUCAUAUCCAGUAAGUUAGGACACAAUGUCUCAAAUUCCCAAUACGCGGAUGAAAAAUGCUUAUUUAAAAGAUAUUUUAUUAUCUUGGUUUUAGAAAUAAAUCAGGCCCAGUAAGUUAGGGCACGAUCUUUUCUUAAUUCCCGAGAUCGUUUAAAAACUUGAGUUUGAAAGGAUUCGUGUAUUUAGAUUUAUUAUGAAAAUCGAAACCCAGUAAGUUAGGGUACAACAUUCCCAAAUCUAAACACGAGAUUUUGCCUAUUUAAAAAAUGUAAUUUAUGCGUUGAAAUAAAUUAAUCUAACAUGAAAUAAUAAAACACGAUGUUAAUACCCAUAACAAGACGAUAUUGAAUACAAUAGUGCAAAAUAAUACGUACAAUUGCAACGAAAAUAAGAUAAAUACAAAGUAUGAAUUAAUAACAUGCGAGAUAGCAAUGUAUACAAGCAAAUAAAAUUAAAGCAUUCAUUCAAAUCAAUAACGAAAAUGAAAUAAAUAACUAAAUGAAUUCGAAUAUAAGAAAGUAAAAAGAUAUAUGUGUGUGUGCAUAAAAUUAUGAAAAUGUAAAAAACCUAUGUACGUAAAGAUAUAUAUAAAUGUGUAUGUGCAUAUUUAUGUGUACGUGCAAAGUUAUGAAAUAUAUAAAAUAUAAAGGUAGGUAUUCGUAUAUAUAUUUUAUAGAAAAUAAAAGCGUACAUAUAUAUUAUGUGCAUGUAUGUAUUAUAAAGUAUAUAAAGGUAUAUAUACGAGGGUAUAUAAAUAAGUAAGAUAUAAAGUAUAUAAGUAUGUAUUUUAAAAAUAUAUACAGACAUGCGGCUGCAUACAUAAAAUAAUAAAAGAUAAAUACAUAUACAUCCAUAAAAAUAGAAUAUGUGUAUUCGUGUAUUAAGGUAUAAAGUAUAAAAAAGUAUAUAUAUAAGUAGCUAUACACAUGUAGGUAAACUUGAAAAGUUAUAUGUGUGUACAUGUUAUAAAAAUAUGUAUGUAUAUAUGUAAUUAUAAAAUGUAUGAAAAUAUAAGGAUAUGUGUAUAAGUAUACAUAUAUAUAUAACAUAAUCCACAAAACAGUAUAAAUGGAUGAAUGACAAGGCAAAUAAGAAAAAUAAAAGCAAUAAUAAUACUAAUGAUAAUAAAACUAAUUAAUUUUAAGAUAAAAACAAUUAAUACUAAAGAAACGGGACUAAAUUAAAAACAGAGCAAAACCCCUGGGGAGGUAAGUUUAAAAAAAAAGGAUCAGAUUAGAGGGAAGCCCAGAAUCGGAAGGACUGAAAGGGAAAAUAGACCCUCAGUCCAAAACACGCGGAUCCUUGGGGCCCGACGGGUCAACACACGGGUCAUGCUCAAUACGGCGCCGUUUUGGAGCCACUGAUCAGACUCCAAACGGCGUCGUUUCACACAUCACAUAAGGGUCAAAAGAACCCUAAUCUGGCAGCCACCCAUUUACUCUUAACAAAAAAGAAAAAAAAAGAAACAAUAAUAGAACAGAGAGCCCGAAUGCUCUCCUUUUUGCUCCUCUCUCGGUCUUUAGGCUUAGACCUCCGUCUCCGCCUCCAUGGCCAGUGGCCGGAGUCGCGCGAGAACGGUCUCUCUCUUUGCGGCGUCCUCGAAGGCUAAGCCUUCUCAACCGCGAUAUCAAAAGGAAAAGGGAUGAACCGCCUCUUUCGGCCCAACUCCGACGACGGCAAGGGUGGGGUUCCGACACUAGCCCAUCAAAGCAGUAAGGUAUUUCCUUUCCCUUUCAGUUCCUUUUACUUUGUUGAACAAUUGCAGAGAAAAAAAGCAAUAAAUAAAGAUUAAAGUGAAUAAGAAACAAGAACAGAGAAGAAAAAAAUGGGAGUCAACCUUUUUGAUCUGUUUUUCUUUUUUGAAUUUGAAAUGCAGUGUCCCCCUCCUGUACAGAGGUAUUGUUUGGCUUUUUAUAACCAAUUUACAUUGUAUUUGAUUGUAUUUUGAUGUCUUCCACUAACUGUUGCGUGCUCCUACUUUCUUUCCUGCCAUUUUCGCAGGUGUUGAUGGCGCUAGUAGCGGUGGGUGGCGAUGGGACAAAGCGAUGGCAGAGGGAUGGGCACGGCGCUAGGCUUGGCUAGGGUUUCCGCCCUAGUCUGACUGGGUUUGGGGCCGGUUGGGCUUAUUGGGCCGUUUGGGCUCUGCCAAUUGGGCCCGGGCAAUAAUUGAGCUGUACAUAUGCCAUAGGCAACUUGUUAACCAAUCGAAGCUUGGUCCAUUGUCGAGGGUUAGAAAUCUAGUUUCCAUACCAAUGCAAUAGGCAACUUGUUAACCAAUUGGAGAUUGGGUCAUUGUCUCGAGGGAUAGAAAUCUGGUUACCAUCGAUUUUGAUGCACCCAAUCCAUGGUAAAGUCGUUGAACAACUUUAAUGGGCAUUUAUUUUAUGGUAAAUACUAAAAUUAUAUAUGAAUACAUAAAUUUAUUUUUAUAUUAGAUUAAUAUAAUUAUUUGUAUAUGUAAUAUAUCAAUGUAAAAUGGUGCCAAUUCGAUAAUUUUGUCAGUGAUUUAUGGAAAUUGAAUCAAAUAAGAACUUCAUGUAUAAAAUUACACAAAAUCAAAAUUCAAGUAUGAUAUUGCAUAUUGGACCAAAGUUUGUGUACAAUUUUAGUAUUUAUCCCUUUAAUUUGAUAAUUUGUAUAUUUAUGUCAUAUUCAUACAUUUUAUAUUCAUUUUAUAGUGUUUUUAGAUUCGUGGUUGUUUCCUUGAAACUGCAUUGUGUCUUAACCAUUGCACCCAACAUUUGUUGAUAAAUAUUUUACAUGAGAAAAUAUACAUUUUGGUAUCUGAGUUUGGCUUUGGAAUUCAAAUUGGUACUUAAGAUUUUUUUUGGUCCUAUUAGGUACUUGAAUUUGGCUUUAAGGUUUUUUCUGUUGCAUAGGAAUUGGAAGGUUCGUAUCCGUCACAUUGCUAGAGCUCAUAACGAAGUUGCAGAUUUUAUGGCCAAACAUGCUGCUAUAGGAUUCAUAAGUAUCCAAGUGUUCUCCAUACCUCCUCAAGUUGUCUGGAGUUUAAUUCAAAAGGAUAUUUUGGGCAUUUGAUUUUUUAUUUUAUUGGAAUCGCCUAAUAUUAUUCUUGUUUACCAAAAAAGAAAAAUCGAAUCAAACAUACACAUAACAUAGGCAAAUAACAAGUACUUAAUUGAAACAAAAAAAAACAUUUAAAAAUCAAAUUGACUGAUGAUGCCAAAUUAAAUACUAAAUUGAAGAAAAAAUCUAAGUUCUAUUAUAUUUUAACUUUUUUUAACACAUUUAAUAUUUACUUCCUUAUCAAGUAUUGGGAAAAACAUUUAGUAUUUACAUUUGAUAAUUUUUUUCUUAAUUUGGUCCCUAAAUUUUAUUUUGGUCCAUAUUAAUUUCGAAUUAGAAUUGUCAAACAAUUUAGUCAUUUUUUUUAAGAAAUGAUGAUGUGUCGCUCUAAUAUAUAACGUAAAAUUAUAUUUAAAAAUUUAAAAAUGCACCAAUGAAUAUAAAUAAAUAGACAUUUGAGUUCAUCCACUUAUCUAAAUUUAUUUUAAAUGUAGUCUUUUAAAUCAUUUUUAUAAUUUCAAAAAAAAAUCCAAAUUUUUUUUUCUCUUUUUUAAAAUUUUGAUGGGAUGAACCUUAACAUGCAAUUAUCCACGUUCAUUCAAACAUGCAUUUAACAACAAAAAAACUAUUACUAAAAAAUCACAUCUAGAAUAAAUCUAGAUAAAUGGAUAUCUAGAUUCAAAAAAAUUUGGAUGACCAUUUAUAUAGAUUCAUUAUGGAUAUGUAUUUUUAGUAAAAUAUUGUAUAAUUUUUAUAUUUUUUACUAAUUUUCUUAAAAAAAUAAGUGAAGAUGGAUUAUGACAUCAUCACCUCUUAAUAGUGUUAAAAAUGAUUAAAUUAUUUGAUAAAAUUCAAGUCGAAAAAGAUUUCAAGGACUAAAUUAUUGGAAGUCAUGAAAUGUAAUACAUUGGGCCCAGCCUCCUGUUUCCUUGAAUUUGUUAUUCCCAGCUAAUGAAAAUUCAAUGCUAUCCAUAAAUAUAAUGUACCUACAUACAAUGUACAAAGUCUCACUUAUACAAAUACAAAUAUAAAUGUGUGCCCAAAGCAUAAUGGUCAAAACGAACAAGAAUAGAACAAAAUUUUCACGUGAUAUAUGUACAAGGUGAGAUUGAAAACCUAAAUAUGUGCAAUUAUAUAAGAUGGGGCUCGAACAUAGAUACUUAAGACUCAAAACCUCAAUUUUAACCAAUAAUGCCGACACUUCAUUAGCUAUAUAUUUAAAGGUUAAAUCACUUUUUAGAUCUUGAACUUAGCAACUAUUUCCAUAGUAAGGUCUGAACUUCUUUUUAUUCAAAUUAGACCGUAAAUUUGACAGUUGUUUUAAUUUUAGUGUCUGAACUUUUUAUUGUCCAAGUUAAUCCUUGAUUUUUUCAAUUUUAAGGCCCAAAAUAAAAAUAAUUGACAAAUUCAAAGACUAACUUAAACAAUAAAAGAAUUAAAACCUUGAUAUAAAGACAGGUGACUAAUUUAGGUGGAACGUUGUAAACUUAAGUGAAGGUGAAGGUGAGGUACGAACAGCAAUGAUGUAGCUUUUAGAAUGACAAAACCAUAAAAAUGGAUAAACUACAAAAAUGUUACUUUUGUUUACUUCAGAUUACAUUUUAGUUAUUUAUGUUUGAAAUGUUACGUUUUAGUCACUUAUGUUAUCGUUUUGUUACGAAGUGGUCACUCUACCAUUAAACUUCAUUACCUCCCUAACAGAAGUCCUACGUGGCAAUCUAAAUGGGUUUUAAAUUCCAAUUUGGAUAUCCAGUUGCUGGGAUGAAAAUAAGUUUUGAAUUAAAUAAAUUUAAUCUGGACUGCCAUGUAGAACCGCCGUUAGGGAGGUCACGGAGCUUAACGGUAGAGUGACUACUUCGUAACAAAACAAUAAUAUAAAUGAAUAAAACGUAACAUUUUAAACAUAAGUAACUAAAAUGUAAUCUGAGGCAAACAAAAGUGGACUAUUUUUAUAGUUUACCGUUGAAAAUAUAACUCCCGUUGCAGAGUGUUGUAUAUAAUAAUUAUGAACACAGUCCACGGUACACAUGACAGAACGUGGUAUUUAUUUUCUAUUAUUAAGAAAAACACAUAAUAUCGGAUUCAUGUAUCAAAUUAAAUAUUAAAAUUAAACUCAAGUGCUAAGUAAUAUAUAACGUGAAAGUAAUAGGCAGAUCCCUCAAAUGAUCAUAUCAAAUUAGUCCUUUUAUUAUUAAGGGUAAAUUACUUAGUUGGUCACUCAAUUUUUAGAAUGCUUUAAUUUUAAUCACUCAUCCGUUAAAUCUCUAUCAGCUGUUAACUAUACAUGCUACAUCAUCAAAAUAAAAACACUUUAUUUUAUGUUUCCAAAUGAAAAUAAACUCAAAUAACUCAUCUUUAAUAAUUGUCUAUGAAAAACAUAUUGUAACUAUCUGGUUAUUUUGUUAGUCAUGCCAGUUUUUAACAGUAUAAAUGAAUGAAAAUUUUAACAGAAAUGACUAAUAUACUCUUUGAUCAAAUAUUUAUCCAUUUUUUUAGUAAAUGGGACAACUCAAUCUACAAUUACAAUAUAUGAAUCUCCAAUCCCGUCAUGCAUACAUUAUGUCUAGAUUUUUGUCCAUGCCAUUCAAUAUAUACAUUUUACAAUUUAUAAAAACUAAUCAUUUUAAAAUUCAUAAUUAUUACUCUGACAAUAUCAUCACCAAAAUUCCCUCCUAAAUUCACUAGUCAACAGAGCUUACGACAAAAUUAACGUGCAGUACCUUGGUCCCCCCCCCCCCUCUUUUGCUAGUUGUCUGCACACCCUUUUCUCCACCACUGAAAAUUCAAUCCAGUUCAUUGUGCUAAUCUACAAUGAGAGUGUAUGUACAUACGUAACUUAAGUGCAGGUGCUGACAUUAGAACAAGAACAGCAGUGACGAAUGGCGAACAACCUUUUGGCCUUUUGCAUGUAAUGACUAUUGUAGUGUCGGUUAAAAUGGUUAGGUUAUAGCAUUGAAUGAACAACAGCUUAUAUUCGAAGUAUAUCUCUUGUUGUAUAUAUAUAUAUGGUUAAAAUGUGCUAUUAGUCAAUGUAUUUGUAUAGAAUCUAGAUUUGAUCUCUGUAAAUGUUAAAAAUUCAUCAUCUUAUUUUUAUUUUUUUUCAAUUUAAAAAUCCUAGCAAAAUCAUUAUAGUUAUUGGAAAUUUCUGUGAAAAUUUAUCAAUUUAACAAGUUUAUUUUUUAUCUAUCAUAUGUCAUAUCAUAUGAAGACAGCCUAAUCAAAAUUCCAAGUUGAUAAAUUUUCACAAAAAAUAUUUAUAAUUUUAAUGUUUAGAAUGAGAUUUUUUUUAAAAUGAAAAAGCUAGAAACUUAACGUUUAACUUUUUAAGCAAAGGGACUAAAUCUUAAUUUUCUUUUUCAAAUUACAAAAGACUAAUGGCAUAUUUUAACCUAUUUAUAUAAUAGUAGACUAUACCGGUAGUCACCUUACUAUUACUUAAAUUUUUUAGUCACUCAACUAUUCGACUUUUUCUUUCCAAUUAUUUGAUUUUUUUUCUUUUUUAAUCACGAGCCAUUAAAUUAUUAAUAAAAAGAUAACUUGGCAGAUUUUAAAAUUGGCAUAAUAGUAAAUUUAAUUCUCAACAUGUAUACAUUGUGUUAAUUUAAUCUUGAUUCUGAAAAAUGAACCCUCAAUAUUUACACAUUGUGUAAUUUGAUCUUUUUUUUUUGCAGUUUUACUUUUUUUUGUAACAUUGAGGGUUAAUUUUAAAAGAAUUAGAAAAUAUGAAGAUUAUUAUCUCAAAUUUUAGGGUAUUUCCAUUUUUGUUAUGUUUUUUUUAUCAAAUUUAGUUGAUAGUGUAACAGCCUGAUUUUCAGUAGUGCCGAAAAAUGCGAUUUUAGAACCUCAUUUCUGUAAAUCAGGUCUGUAACUAUUGGAUUGAAAUAUUGACGAAGUUGCUAUAAUAGAAUAUUAAAGUUUAGUUCUUCAAUUUUUCCUAUUAAUUGCUUAAUUAAGGUACAAGGGGUUAAAUUGUAAAAGUUUUUAUCACUAUAAAUUUUUAAAUAGUUAAAGGUUCCAAAUGGUAAAUAAAUUAUUUUGUAGCAUUCACUAGUGGAAAUUGACGUCAUCCAAUAAUUUUGGUUAAUUAAGGUUAAGGUUAAUUAAUUAAACUAAUUAAUUAAGGAUAAUUAAGGUUUAAUCUAACUAUAUAAGUUAACAUAAGAUAAAAAAUGUUAUUUUUCAUUCAUCUUCUACCUCUUGCCAUGAGAAGAAGAAAGAAAACCCUUUUUGAAGUUCAAACUUUCAAUCCCUAAUUGGUGAGUUUAAUUAAGUCAUUUUCUUGUAAUUUUUAUGUUUUAAUGUCAUGAGAGCUUGAUCUUGUUAGCUAGUCCAUGUACCAAUUUACAAAACUAUUAAAGUUUUUUAAAGUUUUCAUUUUUUAUUUCUUGAAGAAAUUGGUAUUAAAUUGAUAGAUUUUUAAGCUUAGGUGUGAAAAAGGACUAGAUUGUAAAUUUUAAUUGUUAGUUUUGUUCAUAAGGACUAAAGUGAAUAAUGUAAAUUUGAUGUGAAUUUUCUAUAUUAAUAGAUAGUAGAGGGUCCCUAAAAGAUGUAUUUAAGACCGAUUUUUAAAAUCAAGGCUCAAAAUUGAAAGAUAUAUUUAUUUUAUCUUAGGCACUAAAUUGAAUAAAAUGUAAAACUUUAGGAGUAUUGAAAAAUAAAAUUUCAUAUGUUCAUUCAUGUCAUGGGAUAGUGUAUAAAUGUUUGGUAUUGAUAAACUGAAUGGAAUAAUUGUAUAGAUCGGGAAUUGGAUCAAACCGAAGAUAAUCGGAAAAAAGCAAAAAUUGUAGAUUAGCCCCUGAAGUUUCAACUUGUUUGUUGUUUUUUCCAAGUAAGUUCAUAUGGAACUUACUGUUUUAUCGAUGUUAUGUCGAAUUGUGUUUAUUUCAUUUAUAUGUUUCGAUUAAAGUGAAAUUGGUGAAAUUGACAUGUUUGACUUUAAUCAGAUUAAAUUGUAAAUCAUGAAAAUAUUGGCUAUUACAAAAUGGUACGAAGUACCAAUAUGAGUAUUGAAUAUUUAUAGGACUCGUAUGAAAUAUGUAAAAUUAUACAAGGUUUGUAACGAUACAAAUACAACAACGAUGCUCGUGUGAACUUAGUAAAAGAUUAAGAUACGUAUGGCAUGCAAUUAGAGUUAUAUAUAACUGAUCAGGGAUUUACAAGAUGAUAUGAGAUCUAGCAUUUGUUGUAGAUUCUCGAGUUGUAUGAAUCAUUGGUUUAGCCUGAACUGGUAACCUCAAUAUGAUGUUAGCUUGUGUGAGCAACCUUGAUCUUUGUCAGCUUGUGUGAGUAAAACAUUCUCGUGUAUCUAAAUUUGUUUUACUAGAGUUCCCUCGGGCGAAAUUUCAAUCUAAUGAAAGUAGAAACUUGAAAUAAUUUGGAAAUGAACUACAUAUGCAUUCAAAAUUGAGAUAUGUUGUAUGAUUUCUUGCUUAAUGUUCUUGAUAUGUAAUUUGACUAACCUAUAUGGUUGUAUAUGAUGAUAUGUGUCACAUCGGGUUAGAAGAAAUUGGGUUAGUGGACCAAGAGUUGUUAUGUUGUGACUCUUAGUUAAAAGUUUGUAAACUUAUUUCAAGAAUGAGUUGCUAGCUAAAUGGUUAAGCGGAAGUAAGAAGUGAGUAUAGUUGGCUUAGAGACCCGAAUUCGAUUCCAUUCCAUUGUAAAAUACUGAAAAAUUGAUUAAUUUGAAUAAUUGAAAGAUAUAUCUCAAUUAUCUAUAAGAUAUUAUUAGCUUUUUAAACUGGUAUUGCUGUUUUCUUUCUUUUCAUUUUCUUUAUUUUUUUAUCCUUUCUUUUCUCUCCCUUGUCGUCCCUCUCCUCCUUUCCUCCUCCGCCUAUGGCCGUCACAAACUUUUCUCCUCCAUUGGUGGUGGUGUCAUCUUGUUUUUUUAUUAUCAUUUUCUUCUCUUUUUGUUGCUUAUCCGUCUUCAUUUUUCUUCCCUUUUGGCUGUCAUUUUUUAGCCCUUAAGCCAUCCCCUUGCUAUUAUUAAUUUCAGCACCAUUGCUGCCCGUUUUAUUGCUUUCCAUUGGCGCACAUUGCAGCCUCUUUGCUAUUGAUUUUUCCUCUUGUGUUGUCAUCCAUAAAGCCUUCACUUUGCAUAUGUUUUCCUUCUUCGAUUUAAUAUUAUUUUCCACCAUUUAUUCGAGCCUCUUUCUUACUAUUUUUGGUCACCGAAAUCAUUCUUUUGGUCAUUUGUUUAACCCAUUUAUUUCCGCUCAAAAUAACCCCCUUUCCUAUCAACAUUUGUGGUGUUGUCACCCCUUUAAAUUAUCACAAGGGGUUGUUGUUUUGCUUUUCAUUUGUUACCCUUCAUUGUUGUCUUUUUGUGCACUUUUUCCUUAUUAAAUAAACCCCUUUAUUUUGUUAAAUAGUACCAUUCAAUUUCAUCUAGGAAAAGGAAAGCAUAAGUGUCAAUUUAGGCAAGAUCUAGUAUUGUUUCUUUCCCAAUAAUUUUUUUACUUUGAUCAAAUGCCUCUAAGACUAUGAGUGAUUUUCAAUUUUUGAUUUAUGUGUUAUUUUGGUCUUAGGAACUAAUCUAAACUCCUCAUAUCAACAGUGACCACGAAAUCAAUUCACAUCUUCAAUUAGUGGUAAAAAAGUGUAAAUAUACUUUUCGGAAGUGGAUCCGAAUUAUCAUUAGUGAUUCAUUGGUUGGUCAAACCCUUUUGGGGAUGCCUAAGGCUGGUUUUAACUAAGUUUUACGAUGUUUAGGUGUAGAUCCAAUCUAGGUUUGUCAAUGUCUAAGUUUUGGAGUUGUGAAUUUACAGACUUGUGCUCCGGACUUACGGAUUAAGGUGUGGGAUUUAACAAAUAAAAUCUGCACGAUUAAUUAUUUAACGUUAAUCAAUUAUGUUUAAUAUAUUAAUAAUAUAUGUUCCAAAAUGUAAUUAAGUGAUGAUUGGGAAGUACGAAAAUGCUUACUGAUUCUGAAUCUAAGGUAAGUGCUCUGAUUCAAAUUCUGUGAUGUUCGAUUUGUUCUAUGAUAAUGAAAUAUGUUAUGUUUUGACACUCAUGUUUUGUGAUAUUAUGGCAUGAUUUUGUUUCUUUUAGUCUAAUCUCUUAAUACCAGAUAAAUUUUUGAAAUCGCUAUAUUUGAUUGCAUGUUAUGAAUGCACAUUGUUCUGAUUUUGUUUCUGUAUGCCAUAUCACAUAACAUGAGGUUGGGACAAUAUUAAAAAGAGAAAGAUUCUAGCAGCUCAAUGAUCUGCACUUUCUGGUGGUAUAUCCACAAAUUCUGGCAGUAUAUCUGCAGCUCUGGUGGUUUGUCCACAUAUUUGACUGUUUUGGCAACUUGUUUGAACUAUAUGGUGGCUUGUCCACAAUUUUGGUGUAACACCCCUCGCCCGUAUCCCUCGCCGAAACAGGGUUCGAGGUGUUACCCGACUUAAACUCAGUCAAUCACACAAAAACCGUGUCGAAAAAUUUCAAUCAAUUUAAAACUUUUCUUUUCACAUGCAAUAUGUCCCAUAUAUGGGCUUACGAGGCCCAAAACAUCACUAGACAACAUAGGCCAAUUCACAUGGCCAAAACACUUUAUCAAUACAAGCCAACACCUUCGGCUAAAUUAUAAUAUCACAUACUCAACAUUAAAACCCUAUACAUGCCAUAGGCUCAAAAUACUAGGAUUUACUUACACCAAUAGCGUGAGCUCGACAAUGUGAUAAUAUCUCCAGCGAACUCCAACUCGAGCAAGUAACUGGAGCCAACAAUCUAUAAAACAGAGAAAUAUAACAACGGAGUAAGCUUUCAUAAGCUUAGUAAGUUUUAAGCAAUGCAAACAAAUAAACGCAAUUAUACUUCAAUUAUUCAAUUUCUUAAGAGGCCAUAUUCUAGGUAUAUUGCCAUCUGGCCGAAUACACACAAACACAUAAUGCACGUUCAGCAUUUUUAUCACACUUAAUCUGAAUUAAUAUAACAUAAUUAAAUCAAAUACUUUCACAUACUUUCACACCCUGACCCGAUGUAUCAUGAUCAUAGAUAUAGUUAUAACAUUUAUUCACGUAUGUAUCACAUUACACACUUAUGAUUCAUUGCAGAUCAAACUCACAUAUGAGUACAUAAUGCGUACCUGGCCCACUUAAUGUAUCGAAUGUAUUCAUUUGUCAAUCUAACACGAGGUACCUUAGUCUUAGGCUUUUCUCAAUUUACCGAUAUUUCGCCUGCUAGCCUCGAGGCCCGAUAUCAUUUCACCGGUAUUAUGACCUGCUAGGCUCGAAAGCCUGAAUAGUAUCUCACCGGCAUUAUAGCCUGCUAGGCUCAAAGGCCCGAAUAGUGUCUCACCGACAUAAUAGCCUGCUAGGCUCAAAGGCUUGAAUAGUGUCUCACCAGCAUAAUAGCUUGCUAGGCUCAAAGGCCCGAAUAUAAUACCAGCACUAGGCCUGCGGGAUUUAUCCCGGAUAUAAUACCAGCACGAAGCCUGCGGGAUUUAACCCGGAUAUAUUACCAGCACGAAGCCUGCGAGAUUUAACCCGGAUAUAUUUUCAGCACGAAGCCUACAGGUCUUUAAGCCCGGAUACACAUCAAAUAUCAUGCAUAUUUAAUCAUAUAUUAACACAUCUCAUUCAACAUAUCACAUUAGUAGUCAUUUGCUACAUUCGGAUAUAAGCUUCAUAUGAACACCAUCAUUUACAUUUCGGUUCAAAAGUCAUACAUAAAUAUCACAUAUCCAUUUCACCAUUCAAACUUAACCCAUAGUGACCAUUCGACUAUAAGUCAUAUACAUAAAUUAUUUAUCGCACAACUUAAUUCAAGUAGAACCAAAAGGUCACAAUUCAUCUAAUAUAUACAUAUUGCUCACUGAUUCGCACACAACCUUCCAAAUUAGCAAUUAUAAGAUGGUUCCGCACAUAGCCCAUCCUUAUCGAUAAUUUACGAUAGUUUUACCCUUACUCACAUAUAUGACAUAGACAUUUUUACCUAUGCUUCUCAAUUAACAUUCAUGAUUCAAUUCCAAUCGAUUUAACAUGCAUAAGUACAUAUCGCAUACCUGACCAACUUAAUGUAUUGAACGAAAUCAUUUUUUGAUUUAACACAAGGUCUCAUAGUUGAACAUAAACAUGAAACCAUUUCUUAUAUGUUCGAUUCACAUCAAUCAUCAAAUUCAUUUAAUUCACAUGUACUUAAUUAGGUUUUUCGUACCUGAAUAAUUUACUUUACGGAACGAAUCCACAUAUCGUAUUAGCCCAUAGUCUUAUAGCACCACACUUUUAAUAGUUUACCUUAUCGAAGUUCACGUUUAAUCACUUUAGUGCCAAGCCAUAUUCGACUACCACAAAGGACUAACAAUAAUAAUUUUAUACACAUCAUGGUUUCCUUUGGAUAUUUAAUAAUCACAAAUCGUGAUAUCUCUUCCAACACAUAUACGGCAUAGUUUAUUCAUUGUAACACUCAUUUAGUGCAUCAAAUUUCCAAAUCCAAUUCAACUUAAGCAUAAUAGCCAUAAUCGGCUUAUAGCCUUAAAUCAUUACAUAUUCGGCACAUUAACUAAAUAAAAUUUACAUUCUCUCUGCCACAUUAAUUUAACUCUUAGGCAUAUAAAAAGGAAUCAAGCUUAAACACUUAAGAACUUACCUUGAAUGUUGUCGAACGAUUACAACGGCUAUUCGAUUACUUUCUCUUUUCCCUUAUCCGAAUUUGCCCCUCUAUGCUCUUGAGCUUCAAUUUUCCUCCCCCUAGUGACUGAAUGCUCAAAGGUUUCCUCUCCUAUUUGCUCUCUCAAUUUCGGCUAUGAAGAACAAAGAUGGACAAACUUUUCCCUUCCAUCAUUUUUUUAUUUUUAGUCUUUAUUUUAUGACAUAAAAUGACACCUAUCAAUUGGUACCAUAACUUCAUGUCUUAAAUUAUUAUUAUCUAAUGCACAUGUUGCUUCCCACCAACAUCAUGGUCGGCCACUACACAUAAAAUGGGGAGUUUGACAUGUAAAUCCUAUUAUUUUGCACUACCAUUUAUUUGGCCACUACAAAUUAGCCUAUAGCAUUUUCAAAAAUUUUCACAUAGGUCCUAUUUCAUAAUUUCACUCACAAAUGGAAAAAUCAAAGCAUGAAAUUUUCACACAUGCACUUUCACAUGUAAUAAUCACAGAAUAUAACAUUUAAUUAUUUUUGUGACUCAGUUUCGUGGUCCCGAAACCGCUUUCCGACUAGGGCCAAAUUAGGGUUGUCACAUUUGGUGUGAUAUUAGAUAGAUGAUUUCUGGGUAACUCUUUUGUGGUGUGUAGCAGAGUUAGGUAGGAAUGUUUUCUAAAAAUUAUGCAUUGAUUUCUAAAAUUUUGCAUUGACAUUAUCAUGCAUAUCAAGAUUCUAUGAAUUUAAACUACUUAUACAUUUUCUACUAUAUUUGGAAAUUUGUGUUUUAAAUUACAGAUUGUUAUAAGUCAAGCCAGAUCAUUUCAGAGCUCACACUAUCCUCAGCUGGGUAGUCAUUUGGUUAUUUUUUAGUCAAAGGUUGUCGUAUUUAUAUAGGUGGUCUAGAGUGUAUAUAUUGAUAUACAUCUAGUGGUAAUUGGUACUGAUGCAAACGGUGACAAAUGACACGAUAAUGAUGGUCAUCCUGAUUAAGAGGGUGCAAAUUUUAGUGACUCCAAUUUGGAUAAGGUCUCGAAUGAUAUUGACGAUGAGGGCGCGGACGAGGGUGAAAAUAUACUCAUCCCUUUUAUCGGGAGCCCGAGUCAUGGCAUUGUCUUACACAAUGACCUUAAGGCCCACAUGUUGAGCAUAGAUCCUGCUGUGGCGCCUGCAUCCAAGUUCCCUGAGUACCUAGAUAUAUAAUACCUUCUCACUGGUUGGCAAUGAUUCCGAAUCGGAAGAGUUGUUUGUAGGCCAACAAUUUUGGACAAGGAGGACGGUGUAUUUUCCAUCAAGCGGCAUAGCAUGAAGGAGUCGGUAGACUACAAAGUCAUUAAAUCUACAUCGACAUUAUAUGUUUGGAAGUGUUAGAGGUCUGCAGAAGGGUGCAACUGGUGGUUACAAGUUGCAUUUAUCCAAAAGUCACAAUUGCAGGAAAUUCAAACAUUUGAAGGGCUUCAUACAUGUGGUGCCUGACUCACUAACGGCACUAAUUUAAAAAAAAAUAUUUUAUAAAAAAUUAUCGGUGUCGCUUGACACACCGACGACAACCAUUAAAAAAAUUUCCCCUUGACAACCUGCUAUCGCUGCCGCCUAUCACAUCAGUGACACCAAUAAAAGAAAUUAUUUUUUCCUUUCUUUUCACUGACAGAAUUUUUUUAAAAAAAAAAUUGAACAACUGCCACCUGACAGAUUGGUGACACCCAUUAAAAAAAUAUUUUUUUCUUAACCGUGAAUACUCUUAUUUCUUACGGAUAUUUCGAAACGAGUGUCGCCUACCACAAUAACGACACCAUUUUUUUUAAACUAAUGAUUGGAUCAUAAUUAGAGAAAAAAUGAGGUGGUGCCGCGAUUGGUCAUGCAACAACUUCUAGUAUAACAAAAGAGUUAUUUUUGUACAUAAUUUUUUCUCCAAAUUAUUUUCGUAAUUAAUAAAUAUUUUUAAAUUAUUUAUAUAAAAAGGACAAAUAUUUACUUUGCUAAAAUUUCACAAUAUUUAAAUCUUUUCAGUAUUAGAAAAUAAUUUAAUAAGUUUCCUAUAAAUUGCAGGUACUUUCGUGUAUACCAUUCUUGUUACUGCUAACUUUCGUAAGUUUGACAAAGCCGAAGAGACACUACAUAGGCAAAUUUAUUGCUAACAAUAAAGUCUAUAUUUUAAGUGAAGUUGAUGUAUUUUUUUAUAAAACCAAAUUUUUUGGCCAAUUUUUUUUCUGAAAAUAAUUUUUUAUUAACUUUGGAAAUAAAAAAACUAAUUUUUUGAAAUUUAUUAAUAAAACCAAUUUAAAGUAUGAAAUGGAUUGAUUUAUAACUUAUAGGUGAAAUCUUAUAAAUAUGCAUUUUUCUUUUUGCAUAUUUAUUUCUCUAAUAUAAUUAAUUAUUUCUAAUUUUACCUUUUAAAAUAUGUAUUUUCAAUUUAAAUGAAACUUUUCUCUAUUAUUUCCAUCAAAUAGUCUUAUAUAGCUUAAUUUUUAAACAUGUUAUGACCAUAUUUUUGUACAAUUUUUUUUUUGAAAAAACAAAAACAAAAAUUAGUAUUUGUUAAGGUGUAUAUUUUACAUUAUCAAUAUUUAAAAAAAUAUAAACCACUUGAAAUAUUUGAUAAAAUUAACGAAAAAUUUAGCCUUAGAACUGAAAAUAAAGACCUCGAAAGUUAAGAAAUUAAAAAUGAUUAAAUUUUAGUAAAGGGAUUAAAUCUACUAAAAUGCAUAGUAUAAGGACUUUUUAUAAAUUUAACCUGAAGCAUAUGCAUGUUGGUAAGCUUGAUAGCGUUUUCCGUAAAACACUCCGUCCGGCACCAAGAAGUUGGUGACGUGAUGUUUUUAAGGAAAAUAAAAUUAUCAAAAUCAUGUCAAAUCAAAGAAGUAUAUAUCUCUUGUCUGAACGUGGUAAAAAGGACUAAAACUAUAAUUUAACUAAAAAAAUUACCGAUAUUAAAAAUUGGGUCUAAUUAUGAAUUUCAUCCCUCUUAGAAUUUAGUCCACACACUUUAAGAAAAUUAAGAAGUUAGUCCAAUUGUAUGACACUAUUAAACUUUGUUGUUAAAUUGCUUACUUGGGAAUUAGUAAAUAUCAGUAACUCAACAAAUUAUAUGCAAUAAAUAAGCAAAAAUAAACGAUUCAAGUUUAUGUGUUUACAAAAAAAAAUUAAUUAAUUAAUUUCUUUUUUUUUGUAAAAUACAAGUGUUAAAUUAAGCCUUACUGGAUAAUAUGUUUUGAUAUAAUAAAUUAAAGUUGUUUUUGAAUAAAAGUUGAGCAAUUUCAUAAAAAUUAAGUUGAAAUGGUUUGAAUUGAGUCAAACAUUUUCAAAUAUGUUUUAACCAUUUUCAAACCUUAGUAGGUAUCGAUACUUUUCUUAAGGUGUCGAUAUAUUUUCUAAUGUAUCGAUAUUUCUGCUCCAAUGGUCACUGAAAUUAGCAUUAAUUACAAAAAAAAUAUCAAUACCCUUUUAGUAGAUAUUGAUACUCAUUGCUGCAGGUGAAGUUAUUGACCUGGUAUUUCAUCCCCAACGGCUAUAUUCACUUCUAUAACAACCACAACGGUUGGAAAUCAAUUAGAGGGUAUAAAUAUCAUCUUGAAAUCAUCAAAAUUUUUAUUCUAAUCAUACAUAUAUAUAUUAGAGGUAUCAACAUUUAUGAGACUAAUUAAGGUUUAAACAUCAUUAUUAGAUUUAGAAUUUUUAUAAUUAUAUAUGAAAACUUUUAAACAAAAAGCGCCAAGGCGAUCCGUCAGAAAAAUGAUCGGCCAGGCCUAUCCAACAAACGACUAUUCCCUGCGCGUUCUUAUAACUUUAUUAUUAUCCGCCCAAACAGCCCGCCAAUUAUCCGAAAUGAGUUAACAUAUUCAAUUCACACAAUUAUUUCUAUUUCAAGCGUACUGAUUAUCUAUGCCAACAUCGGACAAGCAUCUCAAAAGAGUAAAAAUACACACACACACACACACACAUAUAUAUAUAUAAUGUUCAAUACAUUAACCUUCGUUUCACAUUCAUUUUCACAAAAUUAAACUUAUAUACAUGCCACUUUACUCAACGUAAAGUUAAAAUAAUUCUAUCGAAACAGAAGCUGGAUAGUGUGAGUUGUGGAUCAAUCCACCUGCCAAGUUCCGCCAAAUUUCUAUAAGGAAAGGGAAAAUUAAACGGAGUAAGAAUUAAAUAUGCUUAGUAAGUUCAUAAGUUUAAAAAAUUAAACUCACUUCACAAAACAUUCAUAUAUUUAAAUAUAGCUUAACUAAAUUAUUUAUCCUACCAACACAUUUCACAUGUAUUAGGUAAUACAUCACAUUCAACAUAUAACGGAUCUCAAACAUUUAAUCACUCAAUUAUACCUUACUUCAAUUCAUAAAAAUCAUUCAGUCAACACAUUUAUUUUCGAAACAAUCAGUCUGAUGACUCCACAUGAACAGAAAGGAAUACAUGGGUAACCAUCUGAUAACACACCAGAUUGCUCAUAAGAGUUAUUCCUAUCAAUAACAUGACAUAUGCACAUAGUGUAAAGCCUGUAGGCUAAGUAUUCUCCCCCGAUAACACGAUAAUUUUCUCAUAAGAACUCUAAUCGAUAACACGCAAGAAUCUCCGAAGAUAUUAAAUUGGAAAUUCGCAAUAAAUGCAGGAUUUCAUAAAAUUUCAUUAAGCUUCCUUCAUCUUCUUCCCAUCACCCUUCUUCCCGUGCAGUGUGCAAAUACCCCUAUUGGCAUACCAAUUGUAUCCUUUGUUCAUUCGGGCUCCAUAAACAUAACAAAACUUUCUUUUUAUUGAUUAAUACCUUUCUCACCUUAUCAAUACAAGUUUACUAGCAUUUUAUCAUAUACAUUCUCAAACAAAUCUUUCAUAAAUAAACAUAACAAUACCAUAUGAACUUACCUGGUACAAUAACAAAAAUUGAACGUCAAUAAUCAAUCAGUGAUCUUUCAUUUUCCUCUAUUAUCUACUAGUUGACUUGGUUCUUGAUCUAUACAUUAAUACAUUCAGUUUAUCAAUGACAACACUUUAGACUUCAACAGUUUGAGACUAGGCAUGUAGGUUAACUAGAUCGAGAGACAAGGAUCUCAAAAACAUGAAACCCAUGAAGAACAGGCUUUGAAAAUACUUAUAUGUAAAGCGGACUAAUAGAGAAACUUAGAGCUUUUCUUUCUUCUACAGAGAACAACAUUUUGCAAUGGAGGAAGACGAGAAUGAAACUCUUUCUUUCCCUCCACUUCAACCUACAACACUUAACACAUUAAUUCUCAUCGUUAAAUGAUAAUUAACAAGUGUUUCCACUAAAUAUUGACACCAUCGGCACUACUAUGCAAAGUGUUUAUUUACCACUUUAAACCUUGAACAAUUUUUAUUAAACUAAUUAAACUAGCUUUUUCAUUAAUUCUUAUGAUUUAGUCCAUACACUUUCAUAUCUAAAUUGCUGACCGGAUUCACCAAUUCAAACAUCAGUAAAACACCACAACAGGCUGGUAAAUAUAAAUAAAUAAUAUUUACUGACUCCAUCAUCAGAAUUGUGGUCCCUAAACUACUAUUUCCGACACCAUUGUUGAUCGGGCUGUUACAUGGGAAGUAUUCCCGCCUCUGCUAAAGGUCAGGAAGCUGGGGUGAAAACCAUGGGCUCUAAAGAUGGCUAGAAGAUUAAUAGAACCAUAAAAGGGCCUGAAAGUCGAUUUAAAGCACUAGAAAGCUCGUGGUUACCUCUUUUCGAAUCAUUGAUGACGGCAACAGAACUUAUCUCUUUCAAGUUGGACAAGCAUGUUGGCAAGGGGUCGGUGAAGGUAGCCGGGAAGUAGUCUGAUUGUGCAGAUUCAGGCCAACAAUAAUUUUGUUUCUUUUCCCUUUAUUUUCACUAUGAAUCUUUCUAUUGUCUUGGAAUUAUCAAGGGUGUGUGAGUGCAAAAUUCCCUUAAUUUUUUGUGAAUACAGUAUGGAAUACAAACCGGAUAUUAUCAGUCUACUUGAGCGAAAAGUUAGUGGGGCUAAAACGGAUGCUAUUAUUGCUAAGUUCGAAUUGUAGUGUUCUCAUCGUGUGGAGGCAAUUGGUUUUUCUAGAUGUACUUGGCUUGGCUGGAAGGAACCUAUUAACGUUAAGUUGGUUGGAAACCAUCCUCAAUUUAUUUUGGUUUAAAUCUGCUCUAUUCUCCUUUCACGGCCAAUUUUUAUUGCUUUUUUAUAUGGUAGUCUAAAUAGGCAAACAAUGAAGCAUCUCUGGAAAGACUUAAGUCUGACUAUUCCCUCGAGGUCUAUUCCUUGGAUGGCUAUUAGGGAUUUCAAUGCUAUACUAUCGUCGAGUGAAAAGAAAUGAGGGCAAGUCUGUGGGAAGAGAUGUUCGUUUUUUGGUGAGUUUGUGGAUAUGGCUAAGUUUCAAGAUUUGGGGUUUAGGGGCCCUCCUUUCACUUGGUAGCGUGGUGGCCUUUUUAAGAGGUCGGAUCGUGUGCUUAGGAAUAAUACUUGAGUGGAUUCCUUUCCUAAUUGUUUGGCGACCCAUCUCCCAAAGAUGAAAUCUAAUCACAGGCCUUUUUUCCUUACCCUAGGGCAAGAAAUCACAUCGCCUAGGGGUAGGCCCUUUCAGUCAACAUGUAGGUCCCAGGGUCAUUGUGUAUGAAAAUUCCACGAGUCGGGUUCCCAAACGAAAAGGCAUAUACAUUUUCAUCAUUCCCCACACCUUUGUUGUUGAUAUCAUCUGGGACCUUAUCCAGAUCGGGUUCACUAAAAUCUUUACCUUCGUGAUCAAAACGACCAUCAUUACCGGGUCCUUCUUAACCAUCAGCAUCAAUACCAAUCAUCAAUGAAUGUAUCUCUAUACGAGAACCGAGAUUAGGGUUGUUAUACACAAUCGGAUAAUUAUGUGAAUUCUCGGCCCAUGUUGAUGUCGCUCCAUAAUCGCACGAUUCUGCCUAUCCAACGUUCAGAUCAUAGUUAAACUCACCUAUCGACAGACACUCGAAACCUCCGUACACGUGAACUCCGUAUUGUUAAUUUAUGAAGUGAAAUUUUGAACGAGCUCAACAUCCACUAACUUAGUAAAUAGCUCAACUAGUUUAGCGCUCACAUUCCCAGUCGAGCAAUAAAAUGUGAUUAUAGUCUCCACGUCUUCAUCAUCUACAAGUUCCAUCUUCAUAUAUUUGCACGGAUUUAACAAAACUAAAAAUUUAUAGAAUAGUCUAGACAUCCUCCUCCCACAACAUCGAGCAAGUUUCUCACUAAUAUUUUGUUUCAUAUCAUAGACUUUUACAUUCUUAUUAAACCUCAUUCCUAUUUGCUGGCGAGAUUCAAAUAUACACCAACUGCUAUUUGUAAUCUUACCCCCUCAAAAUGAACGUAUACGAAGAUUUGGUUAUUUAUCAUCAAUACUAAAUCUAUGAAAUUGAAAUUGAAAUAAAAAAAAAUAUUAGCUUCUAUUUAAAAAAUAUUAGCUCUUAUUAAAAAAAAUAUAGCAACAAAAAUACUUUUUAUCAAACAAAUAUUACUUGCACUAAUUAUCAAAAUAAAAUAAAAUAAAAUAUAAUUACUUACAAAUAAUUACAAGCUAACCUUAUAAAUAGACCUGUGUAUGGGUCAGGCCACUUGGCCUGAAAAGCAGGAGGGUUUGGGCAAAAAAUAAAGCUCGUUUAAAAAACGGGUUAGACCUCGGGUAAGGCAUUUUUGGCCCGAGCUCGGCCCGAAUUCGCAAAAGGACAAAAAUAUUUGUUGUUUUUUUACUGUUUUAAUGCUAUUUUAUUGUUGUUUUCUCCCUAUUUUGCUACCAUUUCAUUAUUAUGUUGCUACUAUUUUGUUAUUAUUGUUUAGAUACUGUAUAACACUUGUUUUAUUGUUAAUUUUUUUAUUAUUUUAAAAGCAUUUACUUGUUAAGUUGCAUCUAUCUUAGUGUUAUUUAAGUAUACAUGUUUUUUAAAAUUUAUUUUUAAUUUGUUAAGAAAUAUUUAUUUUAAUGUUUUUAGUAUUUUUAUGUAUUAUAUAUAUUUAAAAAUUAUAUAAAAAUUAAUAUGGGCCGGUCGGGCCGAGCUCGGGUUUUAGCAUUUUUAUCCUGGUCAGACUUGGGCAAAUUUUUAGGCCUAUUUUUUUGGCUCAAUCCUAGAAAACAGGCCUAAAAUUUUGGCUGGGCCCGGCCCAUGAACAUCUCUACUUGUAAACUCAAACUUAAUUUUUGAAGUCUAAAAUAAAAAGCAAAUAUGUUGAUAUGUUGAUUUCUAACCGCUUUGUUUUUCUUUCCCGAUUUCUUAAACCAAUUUUUUCUCUCUUGUAUUGCUAAACAAUUUUUUAGCUCUUUUUCUUUUUUUGUUCUCCUCUUCUACUAAACAUAAAUCUUUUUUUUUUCUCUUCAACAGAAAUAGAUUUUUAGCCGGGGGAGAGAGGUUUAUAAAGUGAGUGGCGUCGCUUGAUAGUGUCACGAGACCAGUUUUUUAAACUGGUGCAACCUAACAUGUUAACGAGACCAAAAUUAUUUAAGUUUUAUAUUAUUUUGAUAGAAAAGACAUUAUCUUAGAAAUCUCUUUCAUUUUUUUUUUGAGGGUUGGGUUAUUUUUUAUAAAGAUUUAGAAGUUUCCCUAACAUCUUUUUACUUUUGUUCAUGAGUUUCCCUAAAAGGUAUUUUAUCAAUGCCUUACCUUUGAAAUGCAAACUAAUUUAAUAUUUUAUAAUAAAAAAUUUAAACUUUAUUCAAAUUUUAUUUAUUUAUUUAUAUUUUUUAUUAAGAUAUAAAGUUUGAAAAGCAACAAGAAAGAACAAGUCCAAGAGAAACUGAAUCAAAUUAAUUAUUAGAAGAGUGAGCUUUUGAGUAUUUAUUAAGUAAAUUAAUACAAUUUGGAGGUUGCUAUUUAUCCAUAAAUAAAUAAAGUAGUUUAAUUUUAGUUUUGAACUUUGUAUAUAAAGAAAAAAAAUUAUUUUAUAUUUAUAAAUUUAAUUCAACUCAUUUUUCGAAUUUAAUCUAGAUACAAUAAAACGAUCGAAUAUUUGAGUUUUUUUUUACAUUAAUAUCAUUAUAGGUUCUUAUAAUAUCGGCUCUUUUUUAUAUAAUACCUAAAAUUAUCUAUAACCCCUCUCCAACCCUUAAAUAGGAGAAUAAUACGUUUGAGUGCAUUCGAACUUACAACCUCCUACACUAACAACAGUGUCGAUAGCAAUAGAGCUAAAAUUUAAUCGAAUUUUUGGUUUUUUAAAAUAUUAAAUAAAAGAGUUUUGCAAAUUAAUGGGCAAACCUCAGCUUCCAGCCAUUUUCCAUACUUUUGAAACUAACACUUAUUUAAUUAUGUUAUAUUAGCUCAGUUUCCACGUGCUUUUCUAGCCGUCACGCCGACGUUAUUUUAUUCAUGAAUGCUAAAACCAAUUUUAUAUUAUUUUUAUUAUAAAAUUUAGGGUAAAUUACACUAGUAGUUACUAAAUUUUUAAUAAUUUUUUUGAUCACCCAAUAAUAAAAAGUUACAAAAUAAUUAUUUAACUAUUUAAUUUUGUCUAUUUUGGUCAUUAACGGGCUAACAAUGGCAGCUUUUAAAGUUAGUAUAAUAGUAACUUUUUAACCCUCGAUAUUUAUGCAUUGUGUCAAUUUAGUCUUAAUCCAAUUGAAGCGUAUGAACCAAUUUUACAAUUUUUCAUAUAGUACAUGACUAGUAAUUAAAUUUAAUCAAAUAAAUUUAAUCGUUUUUGUUUGGGUUAGAACUAAAAUUUUAAAAUUUCUAAAAGUGCAUAGAAUAAAAUUAAUGAAAUUAAGUAUAAGGACUAAAUCUAAAACUUUUAUAAAAUAUAAAGACUAAUAGUAAAAUUUAACCUAAUUUAAACCAUAGUCAAACAGAUCCAAUCGAAGUAUCCAACUUACACUAAACAUUGUUAUGAUGUAUGAUAAAAGACUCGAUUUGUAAAUUGAAUUAACAAAACCUAAUAGCAAAAACACCCAUCCAGGGACCAAUUACAAUAGCCAUUUCUGUACUUAAUCAUAAAAUUAUAAAAUUUAGAGAAACAUUUUUAGAAAAAUAUUUUUGUCAGAGUUGUGAGAUCUCAAAAGGCAAGAUUUUGCAUCUUUUGGUCACAAAACACAUUUCAACUACACAAAUUAAUUACUAAGAUAAAAAUUUAACUUGUAACACUUCCGAUCUGGUUUAGGAGUUUCGACUAAGUUGAAUGCGUUACAUUGAUUAUCGAAGUGAUCCAGUAAAACCAUUCUUUUGCUUGAGUUGAUUUGUAUGAAAAUCGCUCUUUUGUUUUUAAUAAAGCAUUCAUUAGUUAAAUUGUUUUUACUUAUUAAAUGAAUUACAAAAUUUAUUAAUGUGAAGUUUUGGGAAAAAGGGUUAAGGCUAAAAAUGCUUAUCAAAACUUAAGGUAUUGGUAAAGCAACGGAAAACAUUAUUAAGAAUAAUAGUUUUCUAAACCAAAUAGCACGUAAUUAUCUGAGUAUUAACUAAGUAACAUGCUUAAAAUUAAUAAGCUAAAUAAUCCAAAACCUAAGAUAUAAAAGAAAGAAAGAAUUAAUAAUUAUAAACCCAAAACGAUGGGAAAUUUUAAUGGAAACUUUAAAAUAAUAAUAAAAGAAAAACGAGUUGCUAGUUCGAGGUUCUGUGUUACUUGAAAGGUAAGAAAAAGGGGGAGUGAGUUUAUGACAACUCAGUGUGAGUCUAAUUUUUAAAUUACUACUUAUAAUUGUACAAACAAUGAAGCAUUCACUUUAUAGAAACAUAGCAAUUAAGCAUAAUGUAGGGAACAAUCAGUAAAUCAAUGCAUGAACAGAUUAUACUUACGAUGCAAUGUAAUUAUGAUUUCAAGUCCGCACCAAUCUAUCCUAUCCGCCCUCGAGCAUCGCUUGACACACCAAAACACAUGCCAAAAACUUACCAUCCCGGAUUUCCUGGUGACAAUGGGCAUUCACUUAUCACUUUCUGUAACGCCCCAAUUUUCGGGAAUUCUGUGAAUGUUGGCAAAAUUUCAUGCUUUAAUUUUGUCAUUUGUGAGUGAAAUUAUGAAAUAGGACCUAUGUGAAAAUGUUUGAAAAUGCUAUAGGCUAAAUUGAAGUGACCAAAUAAAUAGGAGUGCAAAAUAGGAGGAUUUGCAUGACAAACCUCCCAUUUUACAUGAAGUGGCCAGCCAACAUGUUGUUGUAGACAAAAUGUGCACUUGAUAUCCAUAAUUUAUGGUACAAAUUGAUACAAAUUGAUAAUAGGUUAGGUAAAUAUUCCAUGAUAAUAGGUUAGGUAAAUGUUCCAUGAUAAUGGGUUAGGUAAAUGUUUCAUGAUAAUGGGUUAGGUAAAUGUUUCAUGAUAAGAAUUUCAUGUCUUUUGUAUUAAAGAAUUAAAUGGAUGAAAUAUGAAGUUUUAUUAAAAGAAAAAGGGGUGAAAAGAACAAAGUUUUGUCCAUCUUUGUUCAUCAUAGCUGAAAGUUAGAGAAGAGAAAGGAGAGGAGAAAGCUCUUGAGUAUUCGGUCAUUAGGAGGAGGAAAAUUGAAGGUAAGUUCUUGGUACCUUGUUUCUAUUUUGAGGUUCAUGAGUUCUUCUUGAUUCUACCUUAACUCUUGAAGCAUAUUUUGGUUUUUGGUUGUGUUGUGAGCAUUUGGUCAUGAAUUAAAAUGAAGGGAAUGGUUGUUGUUUCAUGUUCUUUUGAUGAAAAAUGGAAGAUAGGUGAAGUUGAGCCAAACAAAUGAGCAUGCAUGUGCCUUAGAUGCUAAGGGGAAAAAUCGGCUAACAUGUUGUGCUUUAAAAUGAUGAAAUGGAGACUAUACUUAAGUAAACUCAUAGAUAUGUGAUGAUUGAUUGGUGAUAUACAUGUUUAAAUAACAUGCAUGCAAGUUAUGUGUGAAAGAGUGAUUUCGUAAUAAAUCUGCUUGGGACAGCAGCAGUAACGUGACUUUGGAAAAUCACCAUAAAUUGUGGGAGAUGAGUUAGAAGCUGCAUAAAUUAUGUAAUUAAAUCUUAAUGAGUCUAGUUUCAAAUGGAAUAAACGAGAAUAUAUUUUGAAUUCUGUACAAUGAGAAAUUUGAUUCGUAAUGAAGAGUGGUCAGAUUAGUCAAACAGUGAAACAUGGGAAAGUUUGAGAAAAAUCUGGUAUUGAUUGGCUAAACCAAAAAUUCUGAAAAUUUUAUGGAUAGAAGAUAUAUGAGUCUAUUUUCAGGGAAAAUUAACAGAACUUGAUUUGGAGUUUCGUAGCUCCAGUUAUAAAUAAUUUAGUGACUGUUGCUCAGGAAGACAGCUUGCAGUGAAAUUAUGAUUAUGUGGUAAACAUUGACAAAAAUUUGUUAAUGAGUUGCUUAUUGAUUUCUUAUAAGCUUACUAUGAUCUGUAGGGGUGGUUGGCCGAAUAUUGUAAGGGGUUAAUACGUAGUUUGUAUUUGAAUAGUUAGAUUAACGUGUUAGUAAUCCAAUUGUAGGCGGUUCGUGUGUGGAUCUCGUCAGCAUAUCGUCGCAAACAGGUGUGUAACUAACACCCUCUUUCUUAGUCUGGAUCGGCAAAAGUUGAAAAGUCGAAAUGCCGAAAACCGGUAUUUUGUAGAUUUGCGAGUGUGCGAAUGCUCGUGAGGUAAAUCGAUUAAUGUUUUUGGUAAGCUCCAAAAUUUGGACUGCAAAGUGCAUGAUUUCUGUGCCCUAGAUAUUUUUGGGCUUAAUGGGCCAAAAUUAGAAUGAUGGGCCAACGGGCCCAAUUCGGUAAGAACCCUCGGUACGUGAUUCUGUUAGUACGUGAAAAGUAGGAAUAUGCAUGAAAAACCCUAAAAUAGAUAAAUUACUGAAAUACCUUUAAAAGUGGAAAAUUUACAGUUUUACCCCUAGUAGAUAAAUUACCGAAAUACCCCUAGGGUUAAAUUGACCUAAAUGCAUGUUUGACUGUUGUUAUUUACUGCAUGCCAUGUUGUUAUUAUCUGAUGCAUGGGAUUGGGAUAUUGACGGAGGAAGUACUGAAAGUGGCUUGUCCACGUACUGGAGGCUUUGCCUCAAUUUACUAUUAACUGAGCAGCAAGGCUGCAACUGUGGAGUGUUGGGUUGGGUGGGUUGAGCUAUUCCCCACAUGGAGUGUAUGGCUGGUACGGGUGGAGUGUAGUGGUUGGUGGGUUGAGUAGUCUCCCCAAAUGGGCUUGCAUAUGUUUACUGAUGUUGCAUGUAUUUUGAAAUGGGCCUAUGGGCCAUACUGUUAUCUGAAUAAGGGGUUAAGGCCCAGUUUAUUGUAAUCUGAAAAGGGCUCUGGCCCAGUACCACUGUUACCUGAAUGGGCUUAGGCCCAAUAGGCUUGAGCUGACUUGGGCUUUGAAUGAGUUUUUCUUACACACUGAGUUUCCCCAAACUCACCCCUUUUAUUUUCAUCCACGCAGGAAAUCCCCAACCAUAGUGGGCUUGGAGCUGUGAGGGAAUUCGGAGUGGCCACCCGUUCUGGAAGUUUGAUUUUCUUCUGGUGAACUGGACAUCCUUUUAUUUACGUUUGAAGUUUUGGGUUUUUAAAUGUAAUAAGGCCGCUUAAUUAUUUUUAAUGGUUUUAAUAUGUAUUACUAAGAUAGGUAUUACUUAUUUUAACUGUUGAAAUUGGAUAGCUUUAGGGCGUGUUUUCAAAAACAACAGUUGAUUUCAAAAUAACACGACAACAAGCAAAGCUUCUGCAAUGAAAGUAUUUUCCAAAAUUAAUCACUUUUCCUAAAAAUGACUUAAUCAAAUCGGUUUCCUAGAAAUAUCCAUGACGUUAAGGUGUGGCAAUGGCGGUAUGCAUGUCUAGGAUUGGAUCCGAAGGGAGUUUGGUACUUAAGCAGUCCGAUGGACUCACCACCUCUUUUCCAGUUUCCUACCUGGUGCACAGCUUCCAUUCACUUUAACCUUUAAUGAAAUUAUCUUUUAAAACAUCAAGUACGAUUUUCUGGACUUAGAAUGGAAUUUUUUUUUUACGUUUUUGAUGUGGCAUGCCGGCCAUAACGUCUAGGCCGGGUUUGGGGUGCUACAUUUUCUCCUAUGGAACUCUUUUGUCCUUCAAACCCAAUUUCAUUUAAUUAUACACAUAUACUCAACAUAUCAUGCUAUUUAUCAUUAAUUGAUCCUAUGCUUGUCCAACACAUUCAGUAUUUCAUACUGUCGUUUAAUGACGUGUAUUCAUGUAAUCAUUCAUAUCAAUUUCAUAGAUAUACAAUUUCUUCAUUCAAACUAAAAAUUUGUAACAAUAUAUUGAAAUUAGAUUGUUUGUCAUGCUUGUUUGACUAACACAUACAUAACAGGUUCUCAUAUAGGGUUCACAUGUAUAGGGGGUUUGCAUGCAUCAAGGUUCGCACAUAAAGAGUUUGCACUUAAAGGUUUGCACAAGUAAGCAUGCGAGGUUCACAUGGUAAACUAGGUAGGGUUUACAUGUUUAGACAUGUAAGGUUUGCAUAUUAAAUAGGUAGGGUUCACAUGGUAAAUAGGGUUCGCAUGUUAAACAUGUAAGGUUUUGCGAAAAUAUAUACCAAGAGAUCGCAUGUUAAAUCCUAUAUGGUUUUGCAUAUAGGUUCUCAUACAUGUGUUUCCACAUAUCAACUACAGUUCGCCUAAUAGGGGUUCGCCUAUAGGAGUUCACAUAAAGGGGGUUCGCCUAUUAAUUUAAUUAUUACAUAUUAAGUUAUUCUAUUUUUAAAAUUUGAUGUGUCAAACAUAUUAUUAUAUGUGUAAUGCCAUUUCAAUUUAUUAUUUUCAUAUAUUACUUAUUACAAAUCAAGUUAAUAGAUUAACGAUUGUUAUUUGCGUUAAUAUUGAAAUUUUAAAUUUUGAAAAAUAUAGGGACUUAAUCCAAUUGAAGAGCAUGAACCACUUUACAAUUUUUCAUUUAAUACAUGACUAGUAAUUGAAUUUAACCAAACAAAUUUAAUCAUUUUUGUUUAGGUUAGAACUAAAAUUUUAAAUUUUAAAUUUCAAAAAGUGCAUGGAAUAAAAUUAAUCAAAUUAAGUAUAAGGACUAAAUCCAAAACUUUUAUAAAAUAUAAAGACUAAUAGUAAAAUUUAACCUAAUUUAAACCAUAGUCAAAUAGAUUUUUAAGCUAGAAAUGAAAAAGGAUUUAAUUGUAGAAUAAAUUAUAAAUUUUGAGUAUUAGGGAGUAAAAUGUAAAAAAUUAAAAAUUUAGGGAUUUAAGUGAAAUUAGAGAGUUAAAUCUAGUUUAAAGUGGAAAUUGAAUGAAAAUAUAGAAUUAAUUAUGAAGAAAUAAAGUUAGUCUCGAUUUAAGGACUAAAUUGGAAUUUAGACAAAUGUUGGAUAAAAAUUGAAAUAUUCAAUGUGAAAUUGAAUUGUAGUAUAUUGAUGAAUUUUAAUUGUUUUAAUCCAUAGCUAAGUUGUACUAGAACCCUCAACUAAGAAGGGCAAAGAUAAAGUCAAUGAGAAAUAGCUCGGAAAUUCUGGUUUGUAUUUCUAUAAUCCGAAUUUAAUUAUUAAUUGUUGUAUUUUGAUUAAAUGUUUAUGGUAAGUGAUUGAGGUGAGUAUUUAGCAUUUUGAUAUUUAAUUAAAAUUAUAUGAAUAUGUGAAUAAUGUGAAAUUUGAAUAUUGGAUAUUGUUGCAUUUGAAUUGUGAAUUGAAACCCUAUUAACUGUAUCGGGUUGAGUCGGAUAUAGAUGGCAUGCCAUAAGAUUGGAAGAGUUCAGGGAUUACUUUGACUUUGAGUUGAUGAGACACUGGGUAUCAAUUUAUUACUUCGGAUUAAUUUGAUGAGGCACUGGGUGCCAAUUUACUUCGAUUUAGCUGAUGAGACACUAGGUGUCAACUUAUUGCUUCGAAUUAUCCGAUGAGGUUCUAGGUACCAAACUGGUGUGUUUUAGUUGAAUCCGUGUAUCCGUCUGAGUCCGAGUCGUGUUAAUAGGGGUAAUUAAAUGAAGUGAUAUUAUGAAUGGUAUUGGAUAAUACCGAAUGUGAAAUGGAAAUGAGACAUAUAAAUUGUGUAUCAUAUCGUAAAAAGCUAUUUGAGAUAGCAAAUGAUGAAAAUUGAGUAUGUUAUGAUUAAUUUGUUUAUGAAUUGAUUGAUUGAAUGGUUAUUGUUAUUGCAUGAUUAAAUGUACAUAUUAUAUUAUCUUACUUUUAAAUAUUCAGAUUAUAGAAAUACCACUGAGUUUAUACUCAGCGUACGGUUUUGUUUUUCGUGCGCAGGUUAGGUAUUUAAGGUUUGACUGCUGAUUCAGCAUCCAACAACGGUCUUGAACUCAAACGUGGUGAUGUUAUUCCUUUUUGUGUCGGCAUGUACCUAGGGCGUCUAAUUGUUAACUAUUUUGUGGAUUGAUUGUAAAUAAGAUUAAAAGUUAAUAUUGGUUGGUUAUAUAUAUAUGAGAAUGUGUUAUAUUAAGGCUAUAAUAUGGCAUGUUUUAAAUUAUUGCAUAAAUGAACAUGUUAUAGGCAAAAUUAGGUUGAAUUUGGUAUCUUUACAAAUUUGAUUUGAAUGAUGUUGAAAUUAAUAUGUUUUGAUAAUAUGAUUGUGGUACCUAUGAGGGUACAUUGGUUGGACAUCUAUGUUGAUUAUUUUGACAUGUUUUGAAGAUAUUUGAUUUUGUUUCGAAUUGGUUGAAUAAUUGAUUUUGAGUUGUUUAGUAUUCAAGAUUGCAAGGAAUGGUAAACUUGAUGUUUAAGGUUCAUUUUGAGUUCACACAGCCAAACACACAGGCGUGUGACUGGACCAUGUGAGAUACACGGCUAACACAUGGGCGUGUGGUUUGGUCGUGUGUCCCCUGCAACUUUAAAAUUUCAAAAUAGAAUGCUUAGGUAUUUUCACACGGGCAGAGACAUGAGUGUGUGUCUCAGUCGUGUGUGACACACGGCCUAGCACACGGGUGUGUGACUUGGUUGUGUGACCCCGGCACCUUAAUAUUGCAAGUCAGUGUGCUCACUCGGCCUAGCACAUGGGCAUGUGGCUUGGCCGUGUGACUCAAGUCAGUAAGCACCUAAAUUUGGACACGGGCUGGGACACGGCCGUUUGCUCCUAUUUCGAAUGUUCACAUAGCCUGAGACUUGGGCAUGUCUUUUGAUCGUGUGAGCCACACGGCUUGGUCACAUGGGCGUGUGUCCCCUAUUUCUUUGAAAAAUUUUGAUGUUUUCGGAAAAAAUUUUUGAACACCCGGUUUAGUCCCGAUUUGUUUCUAACAUAUAUUUUGGGCCUCGAGGGAUCAUAUAAUGGACAAUAGUAUUAAUUUAUGACAUGUAUGUUAAAUAAUAUGUAAUGUCUGUUUUUUAUUUGAAAAGUCUAAUAAUUCUCUAUAACCCUUAUAGAAGGCCCAAAUUGCCCAGCCCAAUACCAAACCAAAUCAGACCCGAUUACAAACAAGCCCAAACCACCAGCAGAAAAAAGGAAGCAGCAAACCCUAGAUGCCUCCACUUGCACUGCCUCCAUCCCAUCACCUGCAAAACAAAAACAGAGAGCAGAAGCAGCAACAGAAGCAGAAACGCAGCAAACAGUAACAAAACAGCAAUAGGACUUUGCAUAAUCGGCUAUAAAGAGCUAUUCAUUUUCGUUGUUGAAAAAAAAGGGAGGAAGGAAGAAAAAAAAAACAAUGUAAAAGGGGGGGAAACCGAACAAAAAAGCAAUGUAAACGGGGAUGAUUUUUGAUUGUUUUUUCUCUCAUUUCUUCUUUUGAUUGUGGUUCCGUUCUCAAAGAAGGAAAAAAUAUUGUUAGAUUCAAAUAUUGAAAAUCAAAAAGCAAAACAACAGAAGAUAAAAAGUAUAAAAGAAAAAACUCACCUGGAUCCUUGUGGUCUUGAUCCUCGUCGAUGGUGGAGGCCCCGGUGGUUUCAAGAAACCAACGAUGACGACGGCGUGUGAGGGUUUUGAAACCCUAGCAGAGAAAAAAAUAGGGAGAAGGGGGCUGCUCUUUCUGUUUUUUGCAGAAGAAAAGAAAAGAAAAAAUAAAUAACAAUGCAAAACGGUGCCGUUUUGCACCAAAGGCACCAGCACUGAAACGGUGCCGUAUAGGGCCCCUGAUCCGCACGACCCGACCCGUACAUGGGGGAUCCGCGCAUUUCUAAGAAACGGGGAAAUUGUCCUUUCGGUCCUCCCACGUUUUCUACUCCUAUGUAUGUGUCCCGUUUUGCUUUUUAAUUCGCCCCAUUACUUUUAUUUCUAUUUCGAUUUGGUCCAUGGCUUGGCCAUUGAAACGCGGUGUGUAAGAACUUGGGAUAUUCUCCCAUUUAGCCCCUCCGCUUAUUUACGCGCGUUCAGAUUGAUCCUUUUCCCUUUCUUUAUUUUCAAAUUUGGCCCAGAUUUUCUGUUUCACGUUUAAAUUAGUCCCUUCUCUAUUAUUUUGGGUUCUUUAUUACUUAUAUUAUCAUUAUUAUCAUUAUUAUUAUUAUAUCACUAUUUAUUAUUGUAUUAUUAUAUUCAUUUUCUUUAUCUACUAUCUUAUUUUUAAUAUUAUUAGUAUAUCCUAUUUACUCCUUUUUACCUUAUUAUUAUUAAUAUUAUUAUACAUGGUAUUAUUUCCAUAUUAUUAUUUUAAUAUUAUAUUAACUGUUAUAUUUUGCUAUUUUGCUAUUACUCUUUUGAUAGUUUUAUUAGUACGUCAUUGUUAUUUUCUUCUCAUCAUUAUUAAUAUAUAUAUAUAUAUACAAAUAUAUAUUUCUCUUUAAGUACACAUUAGUUUCUAUUAUUAUUGUAUCGUUGGUAUUUUCUGUUAUUAUUAUUAUUAUUGCUAUUGUCUUUGUAUGUAUUAUUUUAUUUAAGUUUCAUUUUUUAUCACGUUUUCUUGUCAUUGUAUAUAUAUUAUCAUUAUUAUUAUCAUAUCAUAUUUGUUAUUUUCUUUUUAUCGUUAUUAAUAUUUUUAUGUACAUAUGUGAUUACUUUCUACUAUUAUUACAAAUAUAUAUAUAUAUUAUUAUACUAUUAGUACAUUAUUUUCAUUAUUUUCUUUAUUGUAUGCUGAAAUUAUAUUUUAGUUUUUUAUCAUUGUUUGUGUUAUUUAUUUAUUUAUGUAUAUAUCAUUUACUUACGUUUUUACUUUACUUUUCGUUAUCUUUGAUCUGUGAUUACGUGUGCUUGCUAAUUUUUGUUAUUCUCGUCUUUUAUUUUAUUUUAUAUUAAUGCAUUUAUUAUGCUCGUGUAUAUUAUUUUUGCAUCUUAUUGCAAAUUCAUGUUAUUUUAACCGUUUUCUGAUCCAAAAUAAAUUCUUUUAUAAAAAUAAUAUUCUGUGUUUGGGAACCAGAGAACAUCGUGCCCUAACUUACUGGGCUUCGAUUUUUCUCAUCUAACCCAAAUAACGGAAUGUCAUCUUAAAAUUGCAAUACAAGUUUUGAAAUCAACGCUUACUCUCGAAGAUACGAGGUGUUGUGCCCUACCUCACCGGGUAUGACAUUUUGUUACCUCGAAAUAAGAUUUUUUGCAAGUAAAGGCAAUAUUCGGUGUUUGGAAAUUCGAGGAGACGUGCCCUAACUUACUGGGUUUCGAUUUUCCUUGUUCACCCUAACUAACCGAAUAUCCUUCCGAAAUACACGAAUUUUUAGGUAAAAGACAAGCUCAUUCUCAAAAGUUCGAGAUGUUGUGUCCUAACUCACUGGAUAUGACAUUUUGUUGCUUCGAAACGAGAAGGUCUUUAACGUUCGAAUGUUUUUUUACAAAAAGAAGGAUUGUAUUUCAAAGUCUUUCAAGUUUUUUAUUUUUCGACACUAAGACACUAAUUAAUCAACUAGGUACCAAUUUUUGGGCAUAUCGAGGGUGCUAAUCCUUCAUCGUGCGUAAUCGACUCCCGAACUCAUUUUCUGAUUUUCGUAGACCAGAGAUUAUCAUUUUAGUAAAUCUUAACUUUUAUUAAAAUAAUUAAUUUGAGGUGACCCGAUCACACCUCAUCAAAAAGGAUUGGUGGCGACCCCCGUUUUUCGUUUUCAUUUUCAAAUCCAAGUCGAUUCCCGUUUUUGCAAAAAAUGGUUACGACAACCCUAUUCUAGCGACGAAUAAAGGUUAGGGGUGUUACAUAAGCAAAUGCUAAAACUUAACUAUUAAACCAACAAAUUCAUUAUUAUUAAUUUUUUAUCAAAAAUAAAAUUUAAAGCAUUCUAAAUUCUCUUACCUUACGCUUAAAAAAAUAAAAAUAUGAAAUUUAUCCCUAUUUCUUCUAGCCCUAUUUUUGGGGUGUGACAACCACUAAAAAUCAUAAAAUGAAACAUAAAAACGCUUAAUUACAAGCUCUUUAAUGUAAAAAAUAACUUAUUUUACCAUAUCAAAUUUCCCGACACUUAAAGUCUUUACUUUUCUUCAAGUAAACACACAAAUAAACAAGAAACAUACACAAAGACGACCGUUGAGCAAGAAUAAUAAAAGUAAUCAGCCAAGAGGUAUAUACAAAGUAAACGAGUCUUCUAAUAUGCAACGUAAGUAUGAUAUGUAGAGAAUCUACAACUCCUAAAAUAGAUCAUAGGAGUUCAUAAAAUUACAAAAUGAACAAGUAUAAAGAUAAUCAUACACCAUCAAAGGUGUCUAAAUAGAUAUAAUGUUUAUACUAAACACAACUCUAAUCAUUCCUUUUUUUUUUCUGUAACGUUAUAAGAAAGGCACUUUCCAAGUACUUUCAUCAAUGUGAACGGAACUAAAACUUGUGUACAAAACAUGUAUAGUUUGGUGGAUGAAUUAUUUAAUACAUUGAUAAUAACUAGUAGGACCCUAUACAUCAAUUACGUAUAUACCCACAGUAUCCAUAAGUAGUUGUACUAUAAUAAAUACAAAAUAUGGGAAAUUUUGUUUUUAUCCUAUAUACAUAGUAAAAUAUUUAUAAUAUAAAAAGGGUAAACUAUACAUAUUGUCAUUCAACUAUUAAAUAUUUUUAUUUUAGGCACUUAAAAAUAAGAAAUUUACAAUUUAGGCACUCACGUUACAUGGUUCGGUCAUUUUGAUCACUCUUGUUAAAAUCACAAACGGCAAGCUGAUGUGACAGUUAAAUAAAGUGGUAUAAUAAUAGAUUUAGUCCUCCAAUUUUACAUAUUAUAUCAAUUUAUUCAUAAUUUUUAAAAAAUGAACCCUCAAAAUAUACAAAUGGACUCAAUUUACAUAAUUAUUUUCAAAAAGUAUAACAAUAAAUUUAAAUUUAAAUUAAUAUUAAUAUUAAUAUUAAAUUGUAAACUUUUUAUUUUGGAUACCUAAAAUAAAAAUAUUUUAUAAUUAGAUGAUUAUCUGUGUAGUUUACCCUAUAAAAAAAUAAUGAAAAGAGUGAAGUAACUUAAUAUAAAUGUGUGAAAAUGUGGGUAAAAAUGGGAGACUGUACAAAAUAUUAUUAAUAUAACAUUAAUAAUAUAUAUUAUUUAUUUAUAAUUUGAUUUUUAUGUACUUUCACUAUUGAAUUAAUAUCAAACUCAAUAAAACACUUAAAAAAAUUUAGAUAUAAAUAAAUUUAUAUAUUAUAUCUAAUAUUUUAAAGAUAUUAUAUUUUAAUAAUGAAAUAUUUAUAUAAAAAAUUUUAAGAUAAUUUUAUUUAAAUGAAUAAUAAUUAUUAAUAUAACCUUAAUUGAACUAAAAUCCACCAAAUAUAUAAAUUGACUAAUUGAGUUGGUGUACGAGUUAACUUGACACUAGUUUAGUUGAGAAAUUACUAAAAUACAUUUACUUUAAAAGAGGUAAUUAAUAUAUUUAUAAAUAUAUUUUUAUCUUUUCAUAUUUUUAUUCAAUAUUCAAAUAAAACAACUGAAAAACAUUAUUUAGGGCCGAUUGAAUCUUAACUCGAUUGGCAUGAGCAUUAUGGUCAAUAUAGGCGUAUAUGAGUUCGAGUGUAUUGAAGCGCGUUAACUCACAUCGUGAUUAUGAUAAAAUCUAAUAAUUUAUUAUAAAUAUAAAAAUAUUGGUAAGCCCAAAUUAUACUUCGAAAUACACCAAUACUAGUAUCUAUUGAUACAGAGGAAAAACGUAAGGAGACAAGGGAGUAGGCAGUGUGGCCUUGCACCUCAAUAUGGUAAAUUUAUCUUUUUAGGUCCUUUAAAAAAUAUAAAAUUAUAAAUAAAUAUAAUGGUAAUAUUAUACCUUGACCUUUCAAAAUUUUCUUAUUUAAUUUUAACCUCUAAAUAACUGCUGCGAUCACCAAUAUGGUACUCAUAAAUUUUAUUAAAUUGCAAUAAAUUAUGAGAUUUUUCAACAUUUGUGGAAAGUUUUUGUGAUAGCAAUGUGUUGGGGUUAGAAUUAUUGGAUCCAAUUUUGAUUUUACUUCUAUGAAUUUCAAUUCAAAUCAUAUUCUGAUUUUGUAAUUUAAAACAUGAUUUUUUUUAAUUGAAGAAGUUUCCUUCUUAAUUAUUUUUUUAUUAAUUUUUUUCCUCAUGGCAGUGUCACUAAAAAGUUGAUUACUGCUCGCCUUUUUCUUUCUCCCAUCAAUUGUCUUUUUCUUUGUUCUUCUCAUUUACUCAUGUGCCUUCUCUCUUUUUAAUUUGCCGAUCUAUUUUUUUGGGUAGAUUUAUUGUAUUCACAAGUUUUCUUGAAAAGUGGAUGGCUCUUCAUCGACUUCUUAAUUUAUUUUUGUUUUGAGAGUAUUUCAAAAUAAUAAAUGAUAUCACAAGUUACUUUAGACCCGUGCAGUCUUAAGUGUUUUUUGUUUGUUUUUCAUUAUUUAAUAGGUCUUCACUUUUAGAAGCUUUUAUCUACUCUUGUAGCAUAUUUUUUAGUCUUAUUUAUGCAUGUAGUCUUGAUUUUACAAGUGAUUUUUAGGGACAAUUUUAUCACCGUCCUCUCUAUUUUGGUAGAUAUUCAACUUUUUGCCAUUUUUCCCACCACUUUGGUAGAGACUUAGUUCUUUUGCUGAUUUUUACCCACUGCUUUGAACCAUCCAGCGAUGAGUUCCUUAUCAUAUUAAGUGCUUGCAAUCACUUAAAAUAUAUAGUGCUUGAAUUGUGACAAAACCAAUUGUCAACAUGCCAUAAUGUUCUAUUAAUACUGAGACUGGAGCAUUUGUGUUGAAUGAGUUCCAUAAUAUUCUAUUAAUGUUGAGACUGGAGCAUUUGUGUUGAUGGAGUUUAUCCUUCAUCGCAUACGACAAAUAUUUGUUGUUUUUCAUUCCAAGUUGUAUGGCCCAUUCAUGAAAUGAAUUAAUGAAUUAUCUUUAAAAAAAAGUAAUAAUUUUAGUUUUUCAUAAUAUAAUAUGGAAUUAAUUAUUUUAUUAUUAAAUAAAUGAAAAUAAUACUGAAAAAUAUUUUAAACUUUGAAAUAAUUGUUAAAGUGAACCAAUCUUUAAAAACUAAAUAUUGCACAUUAAUGUAUAAUUAAAAAAGGAUAAAUUAUAUUAUUAGUCACUAAAUUAUGGGUAAGUUUCCGUUUUGGUCAUUUAAUUAAAAAAAGUUACACUUUGGUCUCUAAACUAUUCAAAAAUUUUCAUUUAAGUGACUGAACUAUUAAAAUCAAGGCUAUAUCGAUUUCUCUGUUCACAUUACCUGCAUCAACUGAAAGCUCGUUUUCCCUUCUCUUCUAUAGUUCAACUUUUUUUUCCAUGAAACAGUUUUGGACGUCAUGUAUUUGUGAACCAAAAUUCAAACAAUUAUUUCUCUAAUCACUGACACUAAUCGUCAGAUCAACUUGGAUCUAAGAUAUGUUCUACUAGUCAAUAGGUAAUAAUCCGCCAUACUGAUCACCGAAUCGUCGCUUGGAAUUCGCUUACGGAACUUUUUUUUAAAGACAAAACUUAACAGCCCAAUGACUAAAAUAAAAAAUUUUGUAUAGUUAAGUGAUUUAAAUGACAUUAAUUGCACAUCCACAUUAUGCGGGUCAUAAACAGUGUAUUACAUGGAACUUUAUUAGUUAUUACACAGGUUGAUAGAAAAUGCUUCAUAGCAAUUUUUAGUCUACAAAACUCUUAACUAACAAAAAUAAAUAAAUAUCAAAAUUAUAAAAAAAAUUUAAUUUUAUCGUGUAAUGUCAUACAUAAAAUUUGAUUUUAAAUGAUUUUAUACGUGAAAGUUUGAUUGAUUUAAAUUUCCCAGGUCACUAACAAUAUUGUCGAAUUAAUAUCAUUUUACGUUGAUAUAUUACAUACACAAACAAUUAUAUUGAUCCAAUAUGAAUAUAAUUGCAUCUAUUUAUUUCUUUAAAUAUGUAUAAUUGAAUCAAAAUCAAAAUUUUAUGCUUACAAAUGAAUCACAAUUCAAGUUUCAAGUGUAUAAUUACACCAAAUUAAAGUUCAUAUAUCAGAUUACACAUUGGACCAAAAUUCAUAUAUAAAUUUGAUAUUUAUCUCUUAAAAUAAAUAAAUCUACUUAUUUUUAUGUUGGGUUAAUAUUAUUAUUUCAUGAGAUCCAAAUUUAUAUAUAACCAUGCUUAAAUGUGAUAUUUAAAAAAAUAUUUAAAAUACAUUUAAAAAUAUUAAAUUUAAAUACUUUUUUAUUUAAACUAAAAUCGGAAUUAAAAUAGUCAAAUUAUCAACUCCAUUGCCAUUAUGUUAAGUUGGUUAAAGGAAAACAUAAUACAAUUAUUAAUUUUUGGUUAAAAUAUUCUUCAAGUCCUUGUAUUGUUCACACAUUUGGACUCAAUUCAUCUACGUUUAUUUUUAAGAAUUUAGUCUCUAUAUUUAAUAUUUCAAAAUUCAAAUCUAAUAGCUAACUCCAGCCAAAUUCAAUUGAAUUCGUAGGUAUGGCAUUUUGAAAUAAAAAUAACUCAAAUUAUAGUCAUGUAACAAAAAAAAUGAAGUUUUAAUGAUUUUGAAUUAACAAAAGAAUUUUAACAAUAUAACAAUUGGACGAAUAUUUUUAAAUCCGAAAAAUAAAGGGGAUAAAUUUCUUAAAAUAAAAAUAAGGGGACUAAAUUCUAAAUAUACAAAGAGUACAAAGACUUAAGCAUAUUUUAACCUAAAUUUUUAAUGGGUUUUUUUUUUAAAAAUUAUGAAUGUAAUGAUUUUUAAAAAGAUAAAAAUGAAUGAUGAAAAUAAAAACCUAUUAAUGGGGAUGACGAAAAUAAGUUACAAAUUCUGAAUUGAAUUUAUCUUAUAUAUGAACGUGCCAAUUUAUAGUAGGGACUUGAGACUUGAAAGUUUAAAACUUACAGUUUACACUUAAAUGUGCUUUUUUUUUGGGUACAUAAACGUGGUAUAUAUUAAAGUCACCAAAAAGUUAAAAUUUUAAAAUAAUUAUUGUAAAAUCAUAUUAGAAAUUUUAUUAGACUUGUAAGUGUGUGGAAACCAUAAAUUUUUUUAUAUAAAAUAAAACAAUUACACAUUAACCAUCGUAUCUAAAUUUGAUGCAGAGUUCUCUCUUUGUAAUUGAUUUACUACCAUUAAAGAAAUAUUCUGAAAAACAUGUAGACCGACAAGAAAUUGCUUCAUCAAGCCGGCAAGAGUAUGUGCAGUCGUAUUAGCUUCCCUCGAGAUAUAUUACAUCUCUACCUUCUAUUGUCUUCAACACAAUUCAAUAAUUAUUAUAGCUAAAUCUUUAUUCAGUUGAACUUAAAAUCUACCUUGAAUAGAUUCAAUAGCAAAAACAUAAUCUGUUUCUACAGUGAUUAUUUUUCUUUUUUACCUUCCAUGCAUAUUGGAAAUCAUCAUAAAUAGUGCAUAACUCAACUUCCUCAAUAUUACAUCUCCCAAUAUUUCUUCCAACUCCUAAGUCCCCAUAUAUAUAUAUAAACAUAUCUUCUUAGAAACAUCUUAUUAUUAUCUUAUUUCCCACUUUAUACACCUUGAAAUUGGGUGCUUCGAAGGCUUGUUUUGCCCAAAGGUGAAUUUAUUUCUAUUUAUUAUUUUCUCUCCCCUUUUUUUUUUUUUGUUUGUUUGUUUAAUUUAAUUAUGAUUGUUUCAUCACCUAUAAAAAACAGGUUUGAAGCUCAACUCAACAAGUACAACACCAGCUAGAGGGUCACCAAGCAUGUCAGUUUCUCCCCUGGAAAUAUCGCCAGAAAACUCAUGCUUGUCUUCGGAACCCGGAGAUGAAAAGGAGGAGGAGGAGGAGGAGUCAGUGGUGACGAUGCGGUACCGUCCUGAAGUAACGUCAAUGCUGCUAGUGGGAUGCCCUCGUUGUCUCAUAUAUGUUAUGUUAUCCAAAUUUGAACCUAAAUGCCCUCAAUGUAAGAGCACUGUCUUGCUUGAUUUUCUUGAUGAAGAGACUGCUAAAUGGGCAAGCAAUUGAAUGAAGGCAACUCUCUAGGAUUUUCGUUCUUUUUCCGGGAAUACGGUACGGUAAGGGUUGCAGAUAUCGAAAGUCAAACUUAUUGAUUUUAUGGAAUGUGAAGUUAAGUAUGAUUACGUGAACUAAUUGAAAUAAAUCCCGGAUUCUAGGGUUUUUUUUUUUUUGAAGUUUUAUGUUAAUCUUAUAUUUUUAUUGGUCAAAUUGUAGUUAUAGUCCCUAGAGCUUUAAUUCCAUAUAAUUUAAUUUCUGUACUUUAUAACCUUAUUAGUGUUUUUAAUUAAUUUAAGUACAACAUAUUUUCUUUAAAAAUAUAUAUUUACGAAUAAUGUUACUUGUUAAUCAUGUGAUUUAUUG